CCCACAGGGCUCAGAACGCCCAACACUCAACAGCCAACAGCCAACAGCCAACAACCGACAACCAACUCAACCGACUCAUCAACGGCCAGAGAAAACUUUCGCUCAAAUGUACAUCGACGAGGAUAGCGAGGAAAGUUCGCCCUUUGUGAUGCUCACAUCGCCGACCAAGUCUUGGCCCGCUAGCUACGGUAAAAAGAACGGCAUGUGGUACGCUUCGCCCGGAAAUCAGGGCUGGGGCUCCAAGCCCGCCAGUCGAAAGCCUUCAAUAAUGGAAGCGGAUUUGGGCACAUUAUCGACCACAUCGGGCUCGAUAAAACGCAGCGCUGGCCGGGUGAUACGCAUCAUCAAUAAUUUGGAUCAUUCCGUUCAGUGUCGCGUCCUACUGAACCUACGCACCUCGCAGCCGUUUGAGGAAGUGCUCGAGGAUUUGGGUCAAGUGCUGAAAAUUAACGGCGCCAAGAAAAUGUACACAGGCACCGGGCAGGAGGUACGCAGCUUUUCGCAGCUGCGCAACGAGUUUGCCGACGUGGACACAUUCUAUUUGGCUACUGGGACGGCAUUGAUCGCCGGCUCGCCAAUUCGACGCUCGCGCUCACGCCCCUCGGUGGUAGCCGCUGCUCCCAUCCUGCCCACGGAGGAGUUGCCGAAGGUUCCAUUGCGUGGCACGCGGCCACGCAGCAAGAGCCGGCCGCGCAUACUCUAUGCGCCGGAGAGCGAGAUACUGAGGCCGAAUGGAGAGUACACCAUGCUGGACAUCAUGAAAGAGGAGCCCACGAAAGUUACCAUACGCGGCUUGCGGCGCACUUUCUAUCCCCCUGUGCACCAUGCGCCGGCAGAGAACUCGCCUCCAGACAAGAAAUUACAGCUCCAGUGGGUCCACGGCUAUCGAGGCAUCGAUGCACGCCGCAACUUGUGGGUGCUGCCAACGGGAGAGCUCCUCUACUAUGUGGCAGCUGUGGCGGUGCUUUUCGAUCGCGACGAGGAUGCGCAGCGACACUACACAGGCCACACCGAGGACAUAAUGUGCAUGGAUGUGCAUCCCUCUCGCGAAUUGGUGGCAUCUGGCCAGAAAGCCGGGCGGGAUCGCAAGUCGCAGGCGCAUGUCCGCAUCUGGAGCACCGAGUCGCUGCAGACGCUCUACGUCUUUGGAAUGGGCGAGCUGGAUACUGGCGUAACCGCGGUGGCUUUCUCGCAACUGAACGGCGGCAGCUAUAUUCUUGCCGUGGACAGCGGCCGGGAGAGCAUCCUAUCCGUUUGGCAGUGGCAAUGGGGCCACCUGUUGGGCAAAGUGGCCACUCUGCAGGAGGGCUUGUCCGGCGCCGCUUUCCAUCCGUUGGACGAUAAUCUAAUCAUUACCCACGGACGUGGUCAUUUGGCCUUCUGGCACCGUCGCAAAGAUGGUUUCUUUGAGCGCACAGACAUUGUCAAGCAGCCGUCGCGCUCACACGUUACCAGCGUUCAGUUCGAGCCGGAUGGCGAUGUGAUUACCGCCGACUCCGACGGCUUCAUUACCAUAUACUCCGUGGAUUCUGAUGGCGCCUAUUUUGUGCGCACCGAGUUCGAGGCCCACAACAAGGGCAUCGGCUGCCUGAUUAUGUUGGGCGAGGGCACUUUGCUGUCGGGUGGUGAAAAGGAUCGCAAAAUUGCUGCCUGGGACUCGCUGCAAAAUUACAAGAAAAUUGCGGACACAAAGCUUCCCGAAGCGGCCGGUGGCGUGCGCACAAUUUACCCACAGCGGCCAGGCCGCAACGAUGGCAACAUCUACGUGGGUACGACGCGAAACAACAUCUUGGAGGGCUCGCUGCAGCGACGCUUUACGCAAGUCGUCUUCGGUCACGGCAGACAGCUGUGGGGCCUCGCAGCGCAUCCCGAGGAUGAGCUUUAUGCCACGGCUGGCCAUGACAAGCAUGUCGCGCUCUGGCGCAAGAACAAACUCAUUUGGACCAUACAAACGGGCUACGAGUGCGUGGCAUUGGCCUUCCAUCCGUUUGGCACGGCAUUAGCUGCUGGCAGCACCGAGGGCCACCUGCUGGUCAUCAACUGUGACAACGGGGCGGUGAUGCUGACGCUGCGUGUAUGCGGCUCACCUCUGAACUGUGUGUCCUUUAAUCAGGUCGGCGAUAUGAUUGCCAUGGGCUCGCAAAACGGAAGCAUUUACCUUUUCCGUGUCUCGCGCGACGGUUUCUCCUACAAGAAGGUCAACAAGAUACGCGGCUCGCAGCCGCUGACACACCUGGAUUGGAGUAUGGACGGCAACUUUGUUCAGACCGUGACCAUUGAUUUUGACUUACUAUUCUGGGACGCCAAGUCGCUAUCUCCGGAGCGCAGUCCCAUUGCAAUGAAAGAUGUCAAGUGGCUGACCAACAACUGCACAGUGGGCUUCCUGGUUGCCGGCCAGUGGAGCAAUCGCUACUACAGCAGCGCCAAUACCAUCAUAGCCACCUGCAGUCGGUCCGCGGCACACGAUAUGCUCGCAUCAGGUGACGCGGAGGGGUAUUUACGUUUGUUCAGAUAUCCCUGCAUCUCGCCCCGUGCCGAAUUCCACGAGUCCAAGGUCUACUCGGGCAUGCUGGCCUGUGUGCGAUUCUUAUGCGGAGAUCACACACUCAUCACUGUGGGUGGCACAGACGCUUCGCUCAUGGUGUGGGACAUUGUCGAGGAAUAGCUGAAAUGGCCACCGUGGCGCUCUGCUGCACAACACGAUGCGAGCUAUCAGGACUACUGGCAUCGGCGCAUCUCGCAGUUGGCAUCCCGAUUAAUAUUGGCGCUAUUUUUAAAUACACGAAGGAGGCUUAUUAGGCAAACAUGUGAAAGUGC
rnacentral:misc_RNA from 1 species